rnacentral:rRNA from 1 species
CCUACGGGAGGCAGCAGUGGGGAAUAUUGGGCAAUGGGCGCAAGCCUGACCCAGCAACGCCGCGUGAAGGAAGAAGGCUUUCGGGUUGUAAACUUCUUUUAUCAGGGACGAAGCAAGUGACGGUACCUGAUGAAUAAGCCACGGCUAACUACGUGCCAGCAGCCGCGGUAAUACGGAGGUGGCAAGCGUUAUCCGGAUUUACUGGGUGUAAAGGGCGUGUAGGCGGGAGUGCAAGUCAGAUGUGAAAGCUAUGGGCUCAACCCAUAGCCUGCAUUUGAAACUGUACUUCUUGAGUGCUGGAGAGGCAAGCGGAAUGCCGUGUGUAGCGGUGAAAUGCGUAGAUAUACGGAGGAACACC